rnacentral:rRNA from 1 species
UAGUCCACGCCGUAAACGAUGUCAACUAGCCGUUGGAUUCCUUGAGGAUUUAGUGGCGCAGCUAACGCAAUAAGUUGACCGCCUGGGGAGUACGGCCGCAAGGUUAAAACUCAAAUGAAUUGACGGGGGCCCGCACAAGCGGUGGAGCAUGUGGUUUAAUUCGACGCAACGCGAAGAACCUUACCAGGUCUUGACAUCCUGCGAACUUUCUAGAGAUAGAUUGGUGCCUUCGGGAACGCAGUGAUAGGUGCUGCAUGGCUGUCGUCAGCUCGUGUCGUGAGAUGUUGGGUUAAGUCCCGUAACGAGCGCAACCCUUGUCCUUAGUUGCCAGCACGUAAUGGUGGGAACUCUAAGGAGACUGCCGGUGACAAACCGGAGGAAGGUAAGGAUGACGUCAAGUCAGCAUGUCCCUUACGCUCUGGGCUACACACGUGCUACAAUGGUCGUGACAAAGAGUUGCUAGUCUGCGAAGGCAAGCCAAUCUCAUAAACGCGGCCUUAGUUCGG